rnacentral:rRNA from 1 species
GAUGAACGCUGGCGGCGUGCCUAAUACAUGCAAGUCGAGCGAACGGACGAGAAGCUUGCUUCUCUGAUGUUAUCGGCGGACGGGUGAGUAACACGUGGAUAACCUACCUAUAAGACUGGGAUAACUUCGGGAAACCGGAGCUAAUACCGGAUAAUAUUUUGAACCGCAUGGUUCAAAAGUGAAAUACGGUCUUGCUGUCACUUAUAGAUGGAUACGCACUGCAUUAGCUAGUUGGUAAGGUAACGGCUUACCAAGGCAACGAUGCAUAGCCGACCUGAGAGGGUGAACGCCCACACUGGAAGUGAGGAACGGCCGAGACUCCUACGGGGAGCAGCAGUAGGGAAUCUUCCGGGAUGGGCGAGAGCCUAACGGAGGAAAGCCGGGUGAGUGAUGAAGGUCCUAGGAUCGUAAAGCUAUGUUAUUAGGGAAGAACAUAUGUGUAAGUACCUGUGAACAUAUUGACGGUACCUAAUCAGAAAGCCCCGGCUAACUACGUG